rnacentral:rRNA from 1 species
UACAGAGGGUGCAAGCGUUAAUCGGACUGACUGGGCGUAAAGGGCAUGUAGGCGGAUGUUUAAGUUAGAUGUGAAAUAUACGGGCUCAACCUGUGUGCUGCAUCUAAAACUGAAUAUCUAGAGAACAGCAGAGGGCAGUGGAAUUUCCGGUGUAGCGGUGAAAUGCGUAGAUAUCGGAAGGAACACCAGUGGCGAAGGCGACUGUCUGGGCUGAAUCUGACGCUGAGAUGCGAAGGCGUGGGUAGCGAACAGG